CAAAAAUCAUUUUUUUCGUCUUCUCCAUCAAUUCGAAAUCUUGAAUCUUAAAUCUGUUGUCGUAGAUGAUUGGACAAAUGAUUCACGAUUUUGAAUCAUUAAUUCAAAAUCGUUAAUAUAAUUAAUCGUUGAGUAAUUUGAAGUCAAUGUAUCACAAAAAUCUGAUUGAACAACCUUGGUUGUUGCUACCAUUGCUAACAAGAUCUCUCUGCCAACUAAGAAAUUAAUGAAAUCGAGAAGAAAUUAUUGGCGAAAUCAUGAAAAAGAACUGGAAACCAAUCAGAUCGAUAUAAAGAACAAUUCCCCAAUUGUUGAUCUUUCUAUGGGGAUUUUAGAGACACCUUAUUCAGAAAUGUCCAAAAAAUGAUUCUUUAUCAAGACAAAUGUUUGGUUACUCCUAGAUCUAUUGAGAAUUUAUUGAUGGGACAAGUUAAGACUUUGUUGCAAAAGGUUGAAGAAGACAUUUUUUCUUUGUCAUUUUGAUGUUAAAAUGUAAGUCAUGAUACAUUGGCAGUAAACGACGCCGUAUAUUGUAAUUUUGAAUCUAUGAAUUAUGACGUGGUCAUUUUUUUUGUAUCUGAAUAUGAUUUGUAUAAAAAUGUAUCAUUAUAAUAUAUUGUAUAGGAUACAUGUAAUAUUUGGAUUAACAAUUGAAAUGGAUCAAAUACGUCUUUAAUCAA